GAGUUUGAUCCUGGCUCAGGACGAACGCUGGCGGCGUGCCUAAUACAUGCAAGUCGAGCGGACCGAAUCGGAGCUUGCUCUUAUUUGGUCAGCGGCGGACGGGUGAGUAACACGUGGGCAACCUGCCCGCAAGACCGGGAUAACUC
rnacentral:rRNA from 1 species